GACGUAGGGCGCGAGCGUUGUCCGGAUUUAUUGGGCGUAAAGAGCUCGUAGGCGGCUUGUCGCGUCGAUCGUGAAAACUUGGGGCUCAACCCCAAGCCUGCGGUCGAUACGGGCAGGCUCGAGUUCGGUAGGGGAGACUGGAAUUCCUGGUGUAGCGGUGAAAUGCGCAGAUAUCAGGAGGAACACCGAUGGCGAAGGCAGGUCUCUGGGCCGAUACUGACGCUGAGGAGCGAAAGCGUGGGGAGCGAACAGG
rnacentral:rRNA from 1 species